rnacentral:rRNA from 1 species
CAGGAAUGGAAGGGCCAUCGCUCAACGGAUAAAAGGUACUCCGGGGAUAACAGGCUGAUACCGCCCAAGAGUUCAUAUCGACGGCGGUGUUUGGCACCUCGAUGUCGGCUCAUCACAUCCUGGGGCUGAAGUAGGUCCCAAGGGUAUGGCUGUUCGCCAUUUAAAGUGGUACGCGAGCUGGGUUUAGAACGUCGUGAGACAGUUCGGUCCCUAUCUGCCGUGGGCGUUGGAAGAUUGAGAGGGGCUGCUCCUAGUACGAGAGGACCGGAGUGGACGAAUCACUGGUGUUCGGGUUGUCAUGCCAAUGGCAUUGCCCGGUAGCUAAAUUCGGAAGAGAUAACCGCUGAAAGCAUCUAAGCGGGAAGCCUACCUCAAGAUAAGAUUUCCCUAGGACUUUAUGUCCUCUAAAGAGCCGUUCGAGACUAGGACGUUGAUAGGUUGGAUGUGGAAGCAUAGUGAUAUGUGAAGC